GCGCUUGUCAAAGUCGUCGCCGCCGAGGAAGGUGUCACCCGAGGUGGAGAGCACCUCGAAGACGCCGUCGCCAACCUCGAGGAUGGAGACGUCGAAGGUACCGCCGCCGAGGUCGAAGAUGAGGAUGGUCUCGUUGGACUUCUUCUCGAAGCCGUAGGCGAGGGACGCGGCGGUGGGCUCGUUGAUGAUGCGGAGCACCUCGACGCCGGCAAUCUUACCGGCAUCCUUGGUCGCCUGGCGCUGGGAGUCGUUGAAGUAGGCGGGGACGGUGAUGACCGCCUUGGUGACGGUGUCGCCGAGGUAGGAGGCGGCGUCGUCGCAGAGCUUGCGGAGGACCUGCGCGGAGAUCUCCUCGGCGGCGAAGUCCUUGCCGGCGACGGAGGACUUGAUCUUCACGUUGCCGGUGUCGCCCUUGACCACGGAGUAGGGCACCUCGCGGUCCUUCUCGCCAACCUCGUCCCAGCGGCGGCCGAUGAAGCGCUUGACGGAGAAG
rnacentral:lncRNA from 1 species